rnacentral:rRNA from 1 species
AGUGAACGCUGGCGGUAGGCCUAACACAUGCAAGUCGAACGGCAGCACAGUAAGAGCUUGCUCUUACGGGUGGCGAGUGGCGGACGGGUGAGGAAUACAUCGGAAUCUACUUUUUCGUGGGGGAUAACGUAGGGAAACUUACGCUAAUACCGCAUACGACCUACGGGUGAAAGCAGGGGAUCUUCGUACCUUGCGCGAUUGAAUGAGCCGAUGUCGGAUUAGCUAGUUGGCGGGGUAAAGGCCCACCAAGGCGACGAUCCGUAGCUGGUCUGAGAGGAUGAUCAGCCACACUGGAACCGAGACACGGUCCAGACUCCUACGGGAGGCAGCAGUGGGGAAUAUUGGACAAUGGGCGCAAGCCUGAUCCAGCCAUACCGCGUGGGUGAAGAAGGCCUUCGGGUUGUAAAGCCCUUUUGUUGGGAAAGAAAAGCAGCAGGUUAAUACCCCGCUGUUCUGACGGUACCCAAAGAAUAAGCACCGGCUAACUUCGUG